AUUGAACGCUGGCGGCAGGCCUAACACAUGCAAGUCGAGCGAGCGGCGGACGGGUGAGUAAUGUAUGGGGCCUGCCCGCUUGAGGGGGAUAACUACUGGAAACGGUGGCUAAUACCGCAUACUAUCGGAUAACCCAUAUGGGAUUAGCUAGUAGGUGGGGUAAAGGCUCACCUAGGCGACGAUCUCUAGCUGGUCUGAGAGGAUGAUCAGCAACAAGGGGACUGAGAAACGGCCCAGAGGAGUACGGAGGGAGGAGGGGGGAAUAUUGAAAAAGGGGCGCAAGCAUGAUGCAGCCAUGCGGCGUGUAUGAAGAAGGACUUAGGGGUGUAAAGUAAUUUCAGCGGGGAGGCGUUACCAGAAGAAGAAGCACCGGCUAACUCCGUGCCAGCAGCCGCGGUAAUAC
rnacentral:rRNA from 1 species